GGGUCAGUAGGCUGGUCGUGCCACCGGUACGUACUGGUCUCACUGAUUCCUCCUUCCUGAAGAACCGUAAUGCCAUUAAUUUGGUGUUGCGGGGAAACAGGACUGUUACUUUGAAAAAAUUAGAGUGUUUAAAGCAAGCUAACGCUUGAAUACAUUAGCAUGGAAUAAUGAAAUAGGACGUUGAUCCUAUUGUGUUGGUUUCUAGGAUUGACGUA
rnacentral:rRNA from 1 species